AGUCACGUGGGAGGACAAUGGUGAGAAGAGGGAACCUAAGAAUUCCUGGACUCUGACUGGGCGUGAGAAAUGGCCGGAAGUAGCUUCGAGUCCGUCAUUCAAGCAGUAGAGGCUCUGGAGAAAAACUGGAGCGCAUCUGCUUAAAGGGCCGCCCAGGGUCAGGAUGGAGGGGCAAAGUCCGAGCAGGGGGUUUCCUCCCAUAUUGGAUCACGAUGAAAACUGCACAGAAAGUCCGUGCUCAGUUUCUUCCAUGGUUACAGAACACAGGCCCCAGACCAGGAAGGCAUUCUGCUAAAGAAGGGGACCCGAAACCUCAGCUACCAGCGCCGAUGGUUCAUCCUCCGAGGAAACCUCCUCUUCUACCUAGAACACUAGACCGACCAUGCACCCCUGAGCCUCAUCCUGUUAGAGAACUGCCAGGUGGAACCACACCUUAAGGCUGCAGAACCCUAUGCCUUUACCAUCCUGACCCCUGGGGUGGAGGGCACAGGUGGGCGGGCCUACAAGCUGGCUGCAGAAACCCAGGAAGAGCUGGAGACUUGGCUGUGGGCACUGGCUGGCGCGAGCUGGAGGCGGCUGGCUGGGCUGCUGUCCCCCCUCCCCCCCCACCAAAACCCAAUACUGGGAGCUGUGCCAGGCAACUGGCCAAGAACCCAUCUCAUCCCCAGAGGACAGUGGCUUUCUAGCCACUGUGAGUACCCCCUCCAGCUUCCAGGAGUUGCAUGAGCACUUUGGGAAGGAGAUCCGGGUGCUGCACGUGGUACAUAGAGAGCUCCAGGCAGCCAGUGACAAUGGAGACAGCAGAUCCCAGGCAAAGAUGGAGCAGGAGCUCAACCAGUGUCUGAUGAGUGACUGAGAGAUGGACCCAAAGCUAAGAGGUACCUACUUGCCAAGACAGCAGACUGCUUCAACAGAGACCCAGGUCCUGGCUCUGUCCCUCCCUCCCUCGUCCUUACCCCAUCCCCCCCUCAUCAAAUAACAAGGCAGAAAACAGGCCCAGGUACAACAGCAGGUUCUUUUCCAAUUCCUCAAAGCGCUGCAUGGGGUGGGGGCAGAGACAGAAGAGAAUGUAAACAUUGGGUUCCACCCCCUGGAGCUCAAGGGAAGACCCUUACCCAGAUAGGGACUAACUGGAGGGGUGGAAGGGAACAAGGUGAAAGGUAUGGGUCCUGGUGAGACAAAAGCAGGGGGGCCUGAGAACACAGAGCAAGGUGGGUUUGGAGGGAGCACAGCAGGGUGCAGGAAGGGAGAUGGGGGACAUUUCCUAUUCCAGUGCAUGUCCCCUUAAAUAAACUGGGUACAGGAGCAUUAUGGAAGGAGAACCAAAGGACAGAAGACAAAGCGAGCACCCCCACCCCAGGCCAACGCCAUCCUCUGUACACAAUUACAACACAGGUCCAGAAUGAGAGCCCUGGCCAGGAAGUGGGGGAGACAGGGAGGGCUGAAGACAGGGAAAAGGAAGCCAGCUCCACCUCAUGGUAAGGGGAGCUAUGGAGUGUAAGAAUCUGAAACUGCUGACUCCCAUCACCAGGAGUCACCCCUGGGAUGACAACGGGCCAUUCAGGACAGCACCUAGGAGGGGACCCAGAGGGAACUGGGGCAGGAGCGACAGAGACCCCAGCUGAGCCUCAUGGGAGAUGAGAGGCUCCAGACUCAUUUGCAGCUGCCCAUCUGUCCUGCCCGUGUAGGGAUCAGCAGCUGGCGAGGAGAUGGGGAACCAAGCCACUUUCCCCAGCAAGGGACAGCCUGACAAGGUGCUAGGGGGUGGCACCUUGGGCCAGGCCUGUUCUUGGCUGAGGGAAAGAGGGGGGCCAUGCAGUCCAGCCCCAGGGCAGAGGUCAGAAGUAAGCGUCCUGCCGGGCCUCGGCUGAGGGCCUGUCCCCACCAUCAUGGGGGCCUGGGGGCCCAUCUGCCUUUCGACGCAGCGAAAGCUUCCGGCCUUGAGCCUUCUUCUCCUGCUUCUGCCGCUCCUUCUCCUGCUUCUCUCGCUCCUUUUCCUGCUUCUCUCGCUCUUUCUCCUGCUUCUGCCGCUCCUUCUCCCGCUCCUUCUCCUGUUUCUGCCGCUCCUUCUCCUGUUUCUGCCGCUCCUUCUCCUGCUUCCGGGUCUCCUUGCUGGAACCCAAGGGGGUGCUAUUGCCAGUGGGUGAGGGAAGGGAUGGAUGCAGUCCCUCAGCAGUGACCACAGGCCCUGGGGCAGGCCCAGCACUGGCUCUGCGGACGGGGGGCGGCGGGGACGGGGCCCCUCCAGCUGCCCGGGAGCCUCGGCUCUUGAGGCCAGGGAGGCUGAGGAGGCUGGAGGAGGGGCCCAGGGGUGGCUGUUGCCGCCGGCGCUCCUCGUGGAUGGCCCGGGACCCAUGCAGUCGCCGUGAGGGCCGAUACUGCAGCUCCCCCCGCGUUUCCCGCCACUUCUUGAGCUGGGCUGCAUUCUCCCGCUCAAUCAGUGCUUCUGUCACCGGCAGAUUGGUCACCUGCACAGAGAGGAAAUGCGUACCAGAAUGGAGCUGAGGGUGGGAGCGGGCUGAGGCAGGCAGGGGCUGCGUUGAGGGCACAGGCCUACCUCAUGCACCAGGAAGUCUUCCUGCAUGCACUGCUGGGGCAGGUUACGCAGCUGCUCCAUGGUCUCAUACAUGCCUUGGCAGGAGCGCAGCUUCUCCACUGAGCCCAGCGUGUGGCGCAGCAGGACCAGGGCCACCCGGAAGAUGAUCUUAACGCCUGCAGGGGUGGAGAGUAGAGAGCAUGGGGUGGUCAGACCCAAGAUCUCAGCCUGUCCUGAUCAGGAUAGACUCACAGCCCCCAUCCCCAUCUACUGCCAAUCUCAGAUGAGGAAACUGAGGCCCUGUGAAAGUACAUGAGCUGCUAUCAGUCUCAGGAUCUUGGCAGGGAGAGCAGGCUCUGGGUUGGUGGCAGAACUAAAAUCAGGCCUGUUUCUCCAGCCCCCAGCUGCUUAUGGUGAAACCUCCACCCAACAAGUACCUUUUGUCCAUGGACCACCAGAAAUAUGACAGAACCCCUGGUAGCCACCACAGAAACCCCAGCCCCUCAUGGCCUGGAGGGCCACAGAAGUACCUUCACAGAAAAACAUGUCCCAGACACGCAGCACCGACGCCCAGGGCAGGGUGCGGGCGAAGAUGCACAUGAACCACUCCGUCAUGUAGAGCACAGGGUCAAUGCGCUGCCGCCGCAGGUGGCGAUGCGCCAGCGGGGAGGCCCGGCGCAGGAGUGCAAAAAAGAUCUCCCCGUCCAGCUGAAUGGCCUCCUGCAGGUGGGACAAGCCAUGAGAAGAGGGCCAAGUCAGCUGUGCCCCCAUCAGGGGAGAACUGGCCGGCCCUGUGGGCAGAAGCCGGGAAGGCCAGGGUGGGGCAAGGCAAGGACCUGCCUGCAGCCUGGAGGAAACGCCACAGCCCCGGAUGCACCCAGCCUCCAGACACUCACCAGCCCUGCACUGUAGUAACCUGGGAGGUACUUGUCGCAGAUCUGCACCAGGCACCAAAAGGCUUGCUGAGAAGAGCAAGAACAAGGAGGAGGGGUGGGGCCUGAGAAGCAGGGAGCAGGGAGCUCCCCCAUCACCACUGUAGGGUGAGAUCCCCCCUGCCCCUCCCGGCCCAGGACCAGGGCGCUGACCUCCGCAGGCAUGUGCAUGAGCAGGACCGCAGCCACGGGGGCCUGGGCCUGGCAGUAACCCUCGUCAGGCCGGUAGAUGGUGUAGGCCUUCAGGAUUCGGUACAGGUCCUGUUGCCUGUGGGGGUUGGGGAAGACUGUGAGGGCAGUCACGGGCUGAGAGCUCUGUCCCCAAACCCAGUUCCAGAUUCGUCCCAGAGUUUAUCACCAGGCUCCUCCAUCCACCUGCCCAGUCCUGCUGAGCGAGCUUCAGCUAAAGGCUCAGCCCACAGCAGAGCACUCCAGGCCCCGGGGCUCCGCCUUUGGCUACAUACUCCACAUGCUCCUGGCCAUCCCAGCACAGGCUGCACCCUCGCCCUCCUUCCUCAGCCACAUCCCAGAAACCUUCCAGGUCAUUUUCUCCAGGAAGCUUUCCACAGCUGCAGCAUCAGCCCUCCUCUAGCACUAAAUGUCUUUGUCACCCCAAAGCAGUAGCUCCCCAGGGCAGGGCCUGCCUUAUCGGUCUCACUGGAUUUCAUGGUUCUUGGGGAAGGCUUGGAAGCCAGCUGUGCCUCAGCCCUUUCUCCUGUCUCUGCAUCCAAAAGAAUAAAAUCUGUACCCUAGA